GACGGGUGAGUAAUGCAUAGGAAUCUACCUAGUAGUAUGGGAUAGCCACUAGAAAUGGUGGGUAAUACUGUAUAAUCCCUGCGGGGGAAAGAUUUAUCGCUAUUAGAUGAGCCUAUGUUAGAUUAGCUAGUUGGUAGGGUAAUGGCCUACCAAGGCAGUGAUCUAUAGCUGGUCUGAGAGGAUGAUCAGCCACACUGGAACUGAGAUACGGUCCAGACUCCUACGGGAGGCAGCAGUGGGGAAUAUUGGACAAUGGGCGCAAGCCUGAUCCAGCUAUGCCGCGUGAGUGAGGAAGGCCUUAGGGUUGUAAAACUCUUUCAGUAGGGAAGAUAAUGACGGUACCUA
rnacentral:rRNA from 1 species